GUGUGCGUUGCCGCUUCAGAGCUUGCUUCUGUUUAUUUUCAAUACAUAAGGGAAGAGAUCAUGCAAAAUUUCCAAAAUGGUAGAUAAAAUUCAGCCAGUUUUAGGGGUGAGGAAGAGGAGUGGUAGAAAGAAGCCACUGAACAGCAUUUACUGCUUAUCAUUUAUAAGUAUAUGAUAGGAUUGAUAGCUGCUCAGAAACCCUUUCACUUGUGUCCAUUUUUUUUAAAGUCCUACUAUAAUAGGUAAUUAAAGUAUACUAAUUGAAUUAAGAUCCCAUCUGUCUGAGUUCAGCAAGCCAACAAGUCCCUUAAUUAAGAUAUCAUGUUUGCUAUAACAGAGGCUGCAAACACAGAGCUGGCCACCAAUGGUAUAAGCAAAUAUCUGUCUUCCCGUGACAAAGUGCCAGAGCAUCCAGUGGGCUGUGGAGAUCAAAAUAAAAUCUGCAAGAUAAGCAGCACUUGCUCGUGGGAUGACAAUAAAUGCAAGAAUAGUUAUGCUUCCUCUGAUAGCUGAGAAAAAUGCCAAUUGGAGCUGGGUGUAAACAUUUUUAAGCACUCAGAGGUAGAUGGCAGCGAUAGUAACUAAAAGACUCUGUGUUGGGUAUCUCAGCAUCUGAUCACCAUCACAAUGGGAUGAUGUCUAAUAUUGGAGGCAAGAAGAGAGAACAUAGUAGUUAAAAUCAGUGUCUUCAGGCAGCAAUUUCAAAAGGUUUAUAAAGUACCAGUGUACCCUCAAACUGAUUUGCAGACACAGUAGGCUCCUGGGCUGCUCCACCAUGGGCUGUCUUCACUUCUUUAUUUAACCAUGCGUGUAUAGAGUCCAUUGAGGAAUCUCCUUUUAGAUGCCGUAUCUUCACUGGUUUUGUUGUUGGGAUUGUAGUUUUCUGAACAAGACAUCAAAUUUAAGAGCUCCUGUGCCUGAAACUAGGGAUUUCCUUCUAGUCUGGGCUGCUGUGCCCAUGACACUGGUCUCUGAACAGGACCCUUCCCAGGAGAUGGUUUCAGCCAAGGAACCUGCUGAAAUUCUCAUUUAGUUUAUAAUUGUCUUUCUACAUUUCCUCCAGUAGCUUCAGCCUAAUGAAACUGUGUUAGGAUGCUUUAAAAGUCUGGAGGAAAAAUGUGCACAUGAAUGUAGGUGCCUCUUUGCAGCUGGAGGACAAGUCCAUGUCAGCAGUGCAUGAAAGCAGGUCCCCAGUGCGUGUGGUUUGGAUUGAGACAUGACGCAGAGGUAGGGAGAGGAGGUCGGUGAUUCCGAAGGGUGACAGCGGUGACCGAGCCAGCUGCAUCCCACCUGUGGUGACUUGCUCCAGGACAGUUGUCCUUUUCCCCUUGAUCUGUUUUGGAGCAAGAAAAAUGGGGGGGGUUUUGCUGCUCGUAAAGGAAUUUUCCUUGAUGGAGAGUUUGGGAGGUAGCGUAGGAGGUAGUGUGUGUCCGUAUUCAGUGUGUGGGGAGCUUUCAGGAGGAGCACACGCCACUGGGGAUCACCCCAUGGUCUUCCCAGUGCACCAGAGCAGGGACCAGGGCAGGCAUGAGGCCGUUGGUCUUCCAGAAGGAUUGGCAGAAGCGGAGGGAGCAGGAGAGCCGUCGGUCCAGGAUAAAGUCCUACAGACACGUGCUGAAGAGGCAGGCGUGCGUCUUUGACGGCGCGAUGCUUUGAGUAGACCGCAGAAGACAAUUUUUUUUCCCCUUAUGGGAAAAUUUCCCAAUGAGGAGGCUAGAUGAAAGCGGACGCUUCGUGAUGCAGUUUGAAAGCGAAGAGACAUCUGCCACAGAUCAGAAAAGCCUGGCAGGUGGAAAACACACCAGCCCUCCCUUCUCCCUGCCUUUAUCCUGUACGUGGCACAUCUCUGUUCCCCGUGUGUCGCAGCCACCAUGCUGACACGGGCUCUGUGCCGCUCGACGAAGAUCAGCAGCACCAGAAACCAGAGCUCUGCUGUCCCAGAGCGCGGUGGUGGGGCAACACACCGACCUCCCCUCCCUCAAUCCCAGCCGGUUUGUACCUUCCCCCUAAAAUACCGCACAAAGCUACAGGAGCUGGGAAGAUUCUGCAGCUCGAGAGCACAUGAGUGAAAACUGAAUUAUUUAGCAUAUUUUUUAGUGCAAGCAGGUGUGGGGUUUGAAGCGGUUUGAGUUGGGAAUUCUCUGCAGAGGAGUUAGGGUCUGGUGGGAUUUGAAAGAGCUGGACAAGUUUUCCAUUCCUGUCCUCCUCUUGCUGCCUCUUGACAGCCUUUCCUUUUUUUUAGGUCUGGAUUCUUGUUCUCUUUCUUGUGUUUUCCAUCGCCUGUAACUUCCCCCUCUCCCUUUAUUUCGCUGAAGCGCCUGUGGAUGCUGCUGUAACGAUCUAUUGAGCACUGACAGCGUGCUCGACGCCGCGUACCAGCGUGCGAGGCGAUGCGGCCCCUCGUCCCGGGGGAUUUGGCCAUCUCCUGCAGACACUGACAGUGCGGUUCAGACCAUCGCGAGCAACCAGAUGCUAGUUCAGCUGGAAACAGAGCCGCCGAGGCUUGCCGAAAUCCUUGGCAGGAGGCAAGGACUGGCUUUGGAGGUGGUUUUGUUAGAGGCUGCGGAGGGGGGCUUGCUCUGUGCGUGUGUAGGUUUUGGUGCGUUUAUUCAGGUUUUUUUAUUUUAUUUUAUUGUUUUUAGAAGGCGGGGGGUGGUUUGCAAAGCUGUGUGAGCACUGAAGCAGCGUGCCCUUCGUCCCGAAGGGAGAGGACGGGGACGGACACACAGAGGUGGCUCGGGCAGCUCCACUGUGAACCACGUCAGAGUGGUUUUGGACCAAUGUUCCCCCAAAAUCUCUUUCUCCCCCCAACCACUUUGUUCAGGCAUUUGGGACCAUGUGUGCGCGUGAGCAUCAGACAGACGCUGUUCUCCUCCACGAUCUGCUCAACUCCAUCUCGCCCAGAUUUUUCCUGCAGCCUUUGGUGCUGGUUAAUCCCCGACUCCGCUCGUAGGGAGGGCUCCCGUGUGCACGGGCUCAGGGCUGUGACACCAGCUGGCCCAGCUCUGCCUGUCCCCAGGGGUACAGGGAAGGACAAUUUGGGCAACAAACGCUAAUCCAGCGCUGCUCCUGUGCACGCACACAGCCAAGAGCUGUGACUGCAGCCACCCUCGCACCCCAACGCUUUUGGAUAAUUUUGUGCAACCCAAACACGAGAGGAAACCCUCACCACGAUCCGGAUGGUAACAGAUACGCUCCAGCAUGGCAAAUGGCAAACCGCACCGUGAGCGGUGACCUUAGGGGCCUGGAGGAGAAGGGGUUACUGCAUCACAUCUCCCUCCUACUUUUUGGACACAAGCCUGUAGGAAACAAGACAUUUGGGUAGCAGAUGGGUGCUCUGGUGGGUCUGGAAACCUCUCAGGCAAAAGUAAAUCCUUCCUUCCCAGCAGGAGGUUCAGGCCUUAUUCUGCAGAACAGCGUGUACGAGCUGAGCUCCCCUAAGGGAGCAGAUUGCCCUAUUCCUCCGGCGCUUGGCUGGAUGCCGUCCUGCCACCAGUGCACUGAACAGCAAAGCAAUCCUGUUGCUUAACCCUCAAGCCCUGUCCCUCAAAGGGAAGCAGCGUUCGAUGCUCUCAGCUUGUGUUGGCACCGCGAAACGUGGUCUGUGAAGAGGAGAAACCCUUCCCUUAGCAAAGGAAAGAUGACACACAGCAGCAAAGAGACUUCAAGAGGACUUGAAAGGCGCAUCGGCUCCCCAGAGAAGGCGGGGGGUCAUGGGCCGGAGCGGGACCCCUGGCACCCACGCUGCCCCGGCUCCGCUGCUUGACCCGUCCUGAGGUCUUGGGCAAGUGCCAUCGCUCUGUGUUCAGCGUGAUGCUGGCCUGGCACUAGCCAUAACAAAAAUCGGAUCCAAAGUUGCUUUUAUGCACACAGAAGAGCAGGAGAACCAGCGACAUUAAUGCAUCCAGGAGCUACCUAUGGCUAUUGAAAUGGGGGAUUACAAGCAUAAAGGCUUGGCUGACUCACUAGACCUCAUUAAAGUCUAAUAAUCUCUAUAAAGAUGCAGCAUUGCACAUACGCAGCAGCCCUAGCCCGUCUGAGCUAAAGCUCAGCAAAGGCUCUAUUAGCCAUUUGAGAGUUUGGGCAUGAAACCAUAAAAUGUGUUUGUGUUGUGAACGCACUUAGGUCAGGAUUCCCUCCGUGAGGCUCAACCUCGACAGUUUGGUUUAGGAACAAAAGGGCCAGGCUUGUCCCAGCGAGGGAUGUUACGGCAUCUGCGAUGUCGCUGGCAACCCGGGGAGCUGUGCUGGAGACUUCGGGGGAUGCAAAAAACCAGAAGCAACAAAAACGUUAAAAGCUUUGAGCUUCCACUGCCCUCCAAGCAACAUGUUAUACACUCACCCAGCUGCAGGAACUUCAGUAUCGCCAGCCUGAAAACUUAUAAAAGAAAACCUGGGAUGGACCGUAAAGCAAGCUAGAUGUAGAAAUUGUGAAAUGCAACACAAGUCGAGGUUUGUGUUUGUGUUUUGACGUCUAAGCCUCCAGAAAUCCCAUUUUCUUGGGUUUUUCUGUAAUUAAGCCGAUUGAUUGUUUUUUCUGGAAGCUGAAGUACUUGAGUAACCAAGUGACUCUGAUAGCCACUGCUCUGAGAACUCCAAAUACGCCAAAUUCUGGUGAAAACCUCAAAGGUUGGCACCUCUGCAAUGUUGAUGCCUUCAAAGAAGUUCUCGCAUCAAGUAGGGCGAAUAACCUUUUGUUGCUCAUUAGUUUGCCUGGAGGCUUUUAAUGAACAAACUUCCUUCUUGUUUGAGAACUUGGGGUCUGGCUGGAACCUGCAAAAAAUGUUUGUGUUUGGAAAAAACCUGACUGACCCCGACUUGAGGAAAAUUGAUGCCUUGAAGCUGUCAUAGCGGUGAGAAGGAUCUGGUUGUGCCAUCCUUGCAUUAAAUUGUACCUUCCUGUGAGAUUUGUCCUUUCCGAAAUCCUGGAGUAAUGCAUUAGCACAUUUUGGAGGUGAGAGCUGGCCGUGAGAGUCUCAUUUGAAUUUGACGCCACUGCUGGGUUUUUUUGGAUAUCGUAAAUAGGAAACGGUAAGGUAGAAGAGUAGAAAGACAAAGUCUGAUUGACUGGAAGAUUACAAAGGGAGAAGAGGUCCCAGUAACCUACAGAGAGAUGGAUUUAGGUUUAUUUGAGGUUGAUUAGUCCUAAUUAUUUUUUACGAUACAGGGCCAAAUUAAUAAAGGAGCACUUGGACUGCGCAGAGUUGAGAAAAAUGAUCUUAAUGGGAGAAUUACUCAAACAUUAAACAGCAUUUUAAGGAAUCGUAGAAUCAUUUAGGCUGGAAAAAACCUUUAAGAUUAUCAAGUCCAACCAUAAACCUAGCACUGCCAAGUCCACCACGAAACGCGACGUCUCAUCACUUUGGUCCUUAAAAGCGGAGGAAGCCGAAGUGGUGGGAGCCACCACCCUGGGAUGGAGACUGAUGUUGGGACAGGGGAGAUGUUGCGGGGGUUGUAUCCCUGCAGCAAGUCCAUCGGCUCCUGAUUUUUUUCUGACUCAUCUAAUCCCGGUGCUGGGGAGCCCGGAUUGACUCGUCCCCACCAGCUCUAAUGAAUGCAAUUAAUGGUCGGGGGCUGCUGGUUGAUUUUGGUGGGAGAGUGGAGCAGGCUGUUCUGGGAAGCCAGUUUCUAAAUGUGCAGAAGCACAGGUUAGCUUGGCUGGGAGGCUCAUGAAAUUUAAAUUAGGAGGAUUUUGUGGGGAAGAGGAAAAAGUAUUAACAAACUAAAGAGAGCUAAUUACUGGAGAUGGAGAACAUUCGCUGUGUAGUUGUAGAUGACAGCAGUAAGUAGUUCCCAUCAGGGCUUUUCUUGCUUUGGAGACAAAGAGGUUGGCCAUCCACUGAGUUAUCAAAGAUGAUAAGGGGCUGCAUUUUAUAAAUGGAGAUAGGCUCUAAUUGCAAAAAUGCCUGUGAAUACUUCCAUGGCACUUUGCUGAACCCUGGUGUCACGGAGGAUUUUUGAAGUCUGCUUUCCACAGUCAUUACAUACUGCUUCAUUUGUAAUGAAGUUUGCAACUCAUGGAACUUCAUUUGGAUAAAUUUUAGCUCCCCUCACCCCCAAAUCUAUUUUAUGUCCAUCUGCUAAUGGGGAAAGAAAUUAAACCUUGGUUCCUUGUGUAAUAUUGCAGCAGAGGCAGUCACAGGGAUUUAACUCCUCCGCUUGAGAAGCAGAAACUACUCCGCGGCCAACCUCCACCGUGCAGCACAGCUUGAGCAACACCCCACAAAGCGAAUAAUCAUAAGCUAUAAGCAAAUGCAUUCAAGUACACCUUAACUUAGUCCUUAAUGAGGGAAAUUUUACCAAAUGAGUCCGUGCAAAGACUCUCCCUUGCAUCUCGUUGUAGCAGAGG